rnacentral:lncRNA from 1 species
CUCACAUCUUUCCAUGUCGUUCUCCACACCUUAUCAGCACGACCGUCCCCACUGUCCUGUUGGUGCCAUGGUCACCAUCCUGCUCUGUAAUUGACGCCGUGAUAGCACAAGAAGAGAGAGGGGAAACAAGCAACGUAAAAUUGGACUGGCUUUGUGGAAGAAGAUGCUCUCGUGAAUCGGAAGGAAACAAGGUGUUAAGGCAGCAGAAACUUAAAAUAGUCAUCUCUUUCACUCUUGCGAACAGGAGUACUCACCAGCUUAAUCAGUGACUACAUGAAUUAUAAGCAAGGCACACGCUUAUAAUCAUUUUGUUUAAUUUAUCCAUUUUAACCCCCAAGGCACACACCAGU